rnacentral:rRNA from 1 species
UGGCGAACGGGGUGGAGUAACAACGUGGGGCAACCUGCCCAAAANAGGGGGAGUAACACUUGGAAACAGGUGCUAAUACCGCAUAACCAUAGUUACCGCAUGGUAACUAUGUAAAAGGUGGCUAUGCUACCGCUUUUGGAUGGGCCCGCGGCGCAUUAGCUAGUUGGUGGGGUAAAGGCUUACCAAGGCAAUGAUGCGUAGCCGAACUGAGAGGUUGAUCGGCCACAUUGGGACUGAGACACGGCCCAAACUCCUACGGGAGGCAGCAG